UACGGGAGGCAGCAGUGGGGAAUAUUGCACAAUGGGCGCAAGCCUGAUGCAGCCAUGCCGCGUGUAUGAAGAAGGCCCUUCGGGUUGUAAAGUACUUUCAGUCGUGAGGAAGGUGUUAAGGUUAAUAACCUUAGCAAUUGACGUUAGCGACAGAAGAAGCACCGGCUAACUCCGUGCCAGCAGCCGCGGUAAUACGGAGGGUGCGAGCGUUAAUCGGAAUUACUGGGCGUAAAGGGCACGCAGGCGGUUAAUUAAGUUGGAUGUGAAAUCCCCGGGCUUAACCUGGGAAUGGCAUUCAAGACUGGUUAGCUAGAGUCUUGUAGAGGGGGUAGAAUUCCAUGUGUAGCGGUGAAAUGCGUAGAGAUGUGGAGGAAUACCGGUGGCGAAGGCGGCCCCUGGGACAAAGGACUGACGCUCAUGUGCGAAAGCGUGGGGAGCAAACAGGGAUUAGAUACC
rnacentral:rRNA from 1 species